UACCUGGUUGAUUCUGCCAGUAGUCAUAUGCUUGUCUCAAAGAUUAAGCCAUGCAUGUCUAAGUAUAAGCAAUUAUACCGCGAAACUGCGAAUGGCUCAUUAUAUAAGUUAUCGUUUAUUUGAUAGUACCUUACUACUUGGAUAACCGUGGUAAUUCUAGAGCUAAUACAUGCUAAAAAUCCCGACUUCGGAAGGGAUGUAUUUAUUAGAUUAAAAACCAAUGCCCUUCGGGGCUCACUGGUGAUUCAUGAUAACUCCUCGAAUCGCAUGGCCUUGUGCCGGCGAUGGUUCAUUCAAAUUUCUUCCCUAUCAACUUUCGAUGUUUGGGUAUUGGCCAAACAUGGUUGCAACGGGUAACGGAGGGUUAGGGCUCGACCCCGGAGAAGGAGCCUGAGAAACGGCUACUACAUCCAAGGAAGGCAGCAGGCGCGCAAAUUACCCAAUCCCGACACGGGGAGGUAGUGACAAUAAAUACUGAUACAGGGCUCUUUUGGGUCUUGUAAUUGGAAUGAGUACAAUUUAAAUCCCUUAACGAGGAACAAUUGGAGGGCAAGUCUGGUGCCAGCAGCCGCGGUAAUUCCAGCUCCAAUAGCGUAUAUUAAAGUUGUUGUGGUUAAAAAGCUCGUAGUUGAACCUUGGGCCUGGCUGGCCGGUCCGCCUCACCGCGUGUACUGGUCCGGCCGGGCCUUUCCCUCUGUGGAACCCCAUGCCCUUCACUGGGUGUGGCGGGGAAACAGGACUUUUACUGUGAAAAAAUUAGAGUGCUCCAGGCAGGCCUAUGCUCGAAUACAUUAGCAUGGAAUAAUAGAAUAGGACGUGUGGUUCUAUUUUGUUGGUUUCUAGGACCGCCGUAAUGAUUAAUAGGGACAGUCGGGGGCAUCAGUAUUCA
rnacentral:ncRNA from 1 species